rnacentral:tRNA from 1 species
UUUAUUGAAAAAUUCUUUUCAUAAACUUGUGGAUCUCUAUCCUUCUUAUUUCCAGAUUGAUUAUCGUUUUUUA